CAAGCAGGUACGAAAGUAGGACUUAGUGAUCCGGUGGUUCUGUAUGGAAGGGCCAUCGCUCAACGGAUAAAAGGUACUCCGGGGAUAACAGGCUGAUACUGCCCAAGAGUUCAUAUCGACGGCAGUGUUUGGCACCUCGAUGUCGGCUCAUCACAUCCUGGGGCUGUAGCCGGUCCCAAGGGUAUGGCUGUUCGCCAUUUAAAGUGGUACGCGAGCUGGGUUCAGAACGUCGUGAGACAGUUCGGUCCCUAUCUGUCGUGGGCGUUGGAGAUUUGAGAGGGGCUGCUCCUAGUACGAGAGGACCGGAGUGGACGAUCCCCUGGUGUUCCGGUUGUCACGCCAGUGGCACUGCCGGGUAGCUAUGAUCGGAAGCGAUAACCGCUGAAAGCAUCUAAGCGGGAAGCGCGCCUCAAGAUGAGAUCUCCCGGGGCACAAGCCCCCUGAAGGACCCAUGAAGACUACAUGGUUGAUAGGUCAGGUGUGUAUCGCAGUAAUGCCGAGCUAACUGAUACUAAUGAUCCGUGCGGCUUGAUCAUAUAACUCCAA
rnacentral:rRNA from 1 species